rnacentral:rRNA from 1 species
AUGUACGAGCAAGACAAGCAGGUGAUUCAUAUAAUAACCGAUAUUCUACGCGCUAACCCAUACUCUCAACAGUUUAGGAGUUUGGGACAAACCCAAAACCUUGAGGACUACAGACUCAUAUUGAACCUUGACCAAAGAUUGGACCAAAGAACUUACAAUGCACCAAUCAAUUCAGAGGUAGCUGCAGUGUGGAUUGGAGGAAAUGAAAGAAGAGAUACUUAUGACAAGAGUGUAAUACUACAUGGGAACAACAAUGAAAUAGAGCACAUUCCAUCAUAUUAUGGGUGUUAUGAUCCAUUGUCGUACCCUUUGUUCUUUCCAAGAGUUGAACUAGGUUGGCAUAGGAAAAUCCCAAAGAAGGAUACACGAGAGGAAGCUAUUGAUGUUGAUGAUAUCAAUGAUGAUGAUGAACCAGGUAACUUUUCAAACAUUGUUCUAUCCAAAAUUCAAUUUACAUAUAUUGAACAUUCCUACAUAUGCAACUAA